rnacentral:rRNA from 1 species
GACGAACGCUGGCGGCGUGCUUAACACAUGCAAGUCGAACGGAAAGGCCCUGCGUUUGUUGGGUGCUCGAGUGGCGAACGGGUGAGUAACACGUGAGUAAACCGCCCUUGAAUUUGUGAUAACUUCAGGAAACUGGGGCGAAUACCGGGUAGGAGCUCCUGCUGCAUGGGGGGGGUUGGAAAGUUUCGGCGGUUCGGGAUGGACUCGCGGCUUAUCAGCUUGUUUGGGGGGUAGUGGCUUACCAAGGGUUUGACGGGUAGCCGGCCUGAGAGGGUGACCGGCGUCAUGGGUCCUGAGGUAGGGAGCAGAAGGGUACGGGACGCAGCAGUGGAGAAUAUUGCGCAACGGGCGGACGCGUGAGGUAGAAACGCCGGGUGCGGGAUGCCGGCUUAUGAGUUGUAAACAGAUGUGGCAUGUGCCGAAGAGUGAGUGACGGUAAUGGGUAAAGAAGCCCCGGCUAACUACGUG